UCCUCCGGUGGCCUAUUGGUUAGAGCGUCAGCUUCAGAUGCAGAAGGUAGCGGGUUCGAUUCCCGAUCGAGUAA